UCUUAUCGAUAAGCCAUUGGAGGGCAAGUCUGGUGCCAGCAGCCGCGGUAAUUCCAGCUCCAAUAGCGUAUAUUAACGUUGUUGCAGUUAAAAAGCUCGUAGUUGAAGUGUGGGUGAUCGCUGUUGUGAGACUUCGGUCUCUCGACAGUAAGUCACCCCCUUCCAGUAUCCAGUAGUGGGUAUUCAGUUACUUACUAUUGUGUGUUGGUCAUUUACUGUGAGAAAAUUAGAGUGUUCAAAGCAGGCGUUUGCUUGAAUAGAUUAGCAUGGAAUAAUAAUUGAAGGCUUUCGUGUUCGAUUUGAUUGGUUUGUUCAUGGAAGCAAGGUUAAAAGGAACAGUUGGGGGUAUUCAUAUUCACUAGUUAGAGGUGAAAUUCUCGGAUUUAUGGAAGAUGAACAAGUG
rnacentral:rRNA from 1 species